rnacentral:sRNA from 1 species
GCUGGGUAUGGUGGUGCACACCUGUAACCCCAGCAGCUCAGGAAGCUGAGGCAGAAGGAUCACGAGUUCAAAGCCAGCCUCAGCAAAAGUGGGGCACUAAGCAACUCAGUGAGAAUCUGUCUCUA